UACGUGAGGGGCUAGCGUUGUCCGGAAUCAUUGGGCGUAAAGCGCGCGUAGGCGGCCGGUAAGUCCGCUGUGAAAGUCCAAGGCUCAACCUUUGGAAUGUCACGGAUACUGCCGGGCUAGAGUCCGGAAGAGGCGAGUGGGAACUCCGUGGUGUAGCGGUGGAAUGACGCAGAUAUCAGGAAGAACACCAACGGCGAAGGCAGCUCGCUGGGACGUUACUGACACUGAGGCGCGAAAGCGUGGGGAGCGAACAGG
rnacentral:rRNA from 1 species